UGGCCGGUGCUUCUUCUGUACCUACCGUCACUUGCGCUUCGUCGGUACUGAAAGAGGUUACAACCGAAGGCCGUCAUCCCUCACGCGGCGUUGCUGGAUCAGGCUUCCGCCCAUUGUCCAAUUACUUCCCCAC
rnacentral:rRNA from 1 species